CGGCUCAGGAUGAACGCUGGCGGCGUGCUUAACACAUGCAAGUCGAGCGAGAAAAGAUGGAAAGAGUCUUCGGAUGAAUGAAGUUCUGGAAAGCGGCGGACGGGUGAGUAACGCGUGGGCAACCUGGCCUAUACAAAGGGAUAGCCACUGGAAACGGUGAUUAAUACCAUAUGAAAUCAUAAAGUCGCAUGACUUAAUGAUCAAAGAUUUAUCGGUAUAGGAUGGGCCCGCGUCUGAUUAGCUAGUUGGUAUGGUAACGGCAUACCAAGGCGACGAUCAGUAGCCGACCUGAGAGGGUGAACGGCCACACUGGAACUGAGACACGGUCCAGACUCCUACGGGAGGCAGCAGUGGGGAAUAUUGCACAAUGGGCGAAAGCCUGUAGAGUUUGAUCCU
rnacentral:rRNA from 1 species